rnacentral:rRNA from 1 species
AUUGAACGCUGGCGGCAGGCCUAACACAUGCAAGUCGAGCGGAUGACGGGAGCUUGCUCCUUGAUUCAGCGGCGGACGGGUGAGUAAUGCCUAGGAAUCUGCCUGGUAGUGGGGGACAACGUUUCGAAAGGAACGCUAAUACCGCAUACGUCCUACGGGAGAAAGCAGGGAACCUUCGGGCCUUGCGCUAUCAGAUGAGCCUAGGUCGGAUUAGCUAGUAGGUGAGGUAAUGGCUCACCUAGGCGACGAUCCGUAACUGGUCUGAGAGGAUGAUCAGUCACACUGGAACUGAGACACGGUCCAGACUCCUACGGGAGGCAGCAGUGGGGAAUAUUGGACAAUGGGCGAAAGCCUGAUCCAGCCAUGCCGCGUGUGUGAAGAAGGUCUUCGGAUUGUAAAGCACUUUAAGUUGGGAGGAAGGGUUGUACGUUAAUACCGUGCAAUUUUGACGUUACCGACAGAAUAAGCACCGGCUAACUCUGUGCCAGCCGCCGCGGUAAAAC